rnacentral:lncRNA from 1 species
AAUAAAAAAAAAUCCAAAAGACAGGAAAACCCAUUUAGGCCAAAAUAGAAUACAUUUCCUUUUAGGUUCAUUGAUUAUGAAUUUCCUAAGAGGUGCAAAUGAAUGCGCCGAUUGGCUGUCAGUUGCACAGACGUCAUAAUCCCAGUCCUGGGCGUCGAUGGGAUGUCCCCUGGGGGAAAAAUGAAGGAAGGAGACCCGAUGAGCAACCAUACCUGAGAGUGCGAAGUGGGGAGCCUGGGCGCACCGACAGUACAGGGCCUGCUUGGGAUUCUCUGUCUUUCCCUCUCUUUCUCCCUCUCAAAAUAAAUAAAUAAAGCUUAAAAAGGGGGGAGGGGCAGAAUAAGCUCAAAGAAAUCUUCGGAAGAGAGUUGAAUCCAAACAGGUGUUGCAGAGAGAGCGGUGCGGCAGAGAGGCUCGGGGGACACUAUCAGAUAAGAGCCCUCCGGCCGGUGGGUCUCUUCGGAGCAAGGUGCGCGCCCGCCAGCGAGGAAGGCACGGUCUCGGCGCACGACAGGCCUCCCGCAGACCCCAGGGCAGGACGAGCCCGGCCAGGAGCGCGGUAGGAAACCUCAGGGCCAACGCGCGGGGACGCUGACUGCAGGAGCCGGGGCGUCUGCGACGGUCCCGGGCGUCUGCCGCCAGGGGGACGGGAGCCCAGGGCCAGCAGAGGCACGUGCUGCUCAGACCGCUCGCGGUGACGACGCCACUGAGGCUUGUUUCGUUUUGUGUACAAACAGCCCUGACGCACUGUCACCGCCCCGGCCACAAAGUGCCGGACGGUGGGUUAGCCGAACACGGCUCCCGCUCUCGUGAACGCAACGGUGGAUGGACGAUCUGGCGGGAGGCCACUCUCCAGCUCUGAGCAGGGAGAGCAGCAUCACGUGCAACACACAGAACUCCUCGCCUCGCCCUCUCCUCUGCCUUUGAGUCUCAGCGCGGAGCCUCACGACCGAAGAUUCUCCUAUCCGGGAGGCUGCCGAGAGACAUGAUUGCCAAAUGGCCUUUUAAACUAAGAAAGCGGAGACAAUCUGCUGCUUCAGACACCUCUUUUAUUUCAGGGGCACGUCUUUAUAUGCCCUACCGCGGGGUGCAUAAGCAGCACUGCUGUUUGUUCCACAACACGGCAAACUUCCUAAGCAGGAAGAGGAUCAAAACUUGCUUCCAUGGGUCACACACAUUUCCAGGUAAGAGGAGGAAUGGCUUUCUUUUUUUUUUUUUAAUUUUUAAUUUUAUUUUAUUCUAGAGGGAGAGAAGGAGCACGAGUCGGGGAGAGGGGUGGAGGGAGAGAGGGAGGGAAGGAAGGAGGGGGAGAGGAAGAGCGAGAAAGAGAGAGAGAGAGAUGAUCUUAAGCAGACUCCACACUGAGUGCAGAGCCCUAUGUGGGGCUCCAUCCCACGACCCUGGGAUCGUGACCGGAACCAAAAUCAAGAGUCAGACACUCAACCGACCGAGCCACCCAAGUGCCCCUGAUUUUUAUUUAGCAAACUUUUCAAACUCUUGCCCAUCCUUUAUACAUGUGGGAUGUGAGUCCCCAAAACUUCAGUUCUGAGGUGUCUUGUUCCCCAAAACUCUGCUCAGUGGCCAGCCAGGGAGUAAUUCUUGUGCAGUAAAUCAAUACUUCUCUCUACACAAAAGGCAGUCAUCAACUUUACAUUUCCUUUGCAACAUGCUCUCUGGGAGUUGAAGGUUACCUGAAAGCAAUUCCCAUUAUCACU